rnacentral:rRNA from 1 species
GAACGAGGGUAGCAAUACCCUAGUGGCAGACGGGUGAGUAACACGUGGUCAACCUACCUUUAAGUGGGGGAUAACUAGCCGAAAGGUUAGCUAAUACCGCAUACGAUCUUCGAGCGGCAUCGUUUGGAGAUGAAAGGAGCAAUCCGCUUAAAGACGGGACCGCGUCCCAUCAGCUAGUUGGUGAGGUAAUGGCUCACCAAGGCUUAGACGGGUAGCUGGUCUGAGAGGAUGAUCAGCCACACUGGGACUGAGACACGGCCCAGACUCCUACGGGAGGCAGCAGUGGGGAAUAUUGGGCAAUGGGCGAAAGCCUGACCCAGCCACGCCGCGUGAGUGAUGAAGGCCUUCGGGUCGUAAAGCUCUGUGGGGAGGGACGAAACAGCUGCUGGCUAAUAUCCAGCGGCCUUGACGGUACCUCCUUAGCGAGCACCGGCUAACUCCGUG